UACCUUGUUACGACUUCACCCCAAUCACCAACCCCACCUUAGACGGCUACCUCCCUCGCGGGUUGGCUCACCGGCUUCGGGUGUUGUCGGCUUUCGUGGUGUGACGGGCGGUGUGUACAAGGCCCGGGAACGUAUUCACCGCGGCGUGGCUGAUCCGCGAUUACUAGCAAUUCCGGCUUCAUGGGGACGAGUUGCAGCCCCCAAUCUGAACUGAGACCGGCUUUUUGAGAUUCGCUCCAGAUCGCUCCUUCGCUCCCCUCUGUACCGGCCAUUGUAGCACGUGUGUGGCCCAGGGCAUAAGGGCCAUGAUGAUUUGACGUCAUCCCCACCUUCCUCCGGUUUGUCACCGGCAGUCUCCUGUGAGUCCCCGUCUUCACGCUGGCAACACAGGACAAGGGUUGCGCUCGUUGCGGGACUUAACCCAACAUCUCACGACACGAGCUGACGACAACCAUGCAGCACCUGUCUCCCUGUCUGACCAAAGGCCAGAAAAUUGUGUUUCCACGACCGUCAGGGGAUGUCAAGCCCUGGUAAGGUUCUGCGCGUUGUGUCGAAUUAAACCACAUGCUCCCACUGCUUGUGCGGGCCCCCGUCAAUU
rnacentral:rRNA from 1 species